rnacentral:antisense_RNA from 1 species
UGUGGGAGCGGGCUUGCUCGCGAUGGCGUCAGGUCAACCAGCAUUGAUGUCGACUGGCACAACGCUUUCGCGAGCAAGCUCGCUCCCACA